AUUGAACGCUGGCGGCAGGCCUAACACAUGCAAGUCGAGCGGAGCGGCGGAAGGGUGAGUAAUGCCUAGGAAUCUGCCUGGUAGUGGGGGACAACGUACGGAAACGGGAGCUAAUACAGCAUACGAUCAGAGGAGCAUAGGUCGGAUUAGCUAGUUGGUGGGGUAAAGGCCUACCAAGGCGACGAUCCGUAACUGGUCUGAGAGGAUGAACAGUCACACUGGAACUGAGACACGGUCCCGACUCCUACGGGAGGCAGCAGUGGGGAAUAUUGGACAAUGGGCGAAAGCCUGAUGCAGCCAUGCCGCGUGUGUGAAGAAGGUCUUCGGAUUGUAAAGCACUUUAGGUUGAGAGGCGUUACCAACAGAGAAAGCACCGGCUAACUUCGUGCCAGCAGCCGCGGUAAUUC
rnacentral:rRNA from 1 species